CACCACUUCCCGCCCCUUGAAGUAGCUGAACCACACGGUGCCCUGGUACUGGUCGCCGGCGUCCAGGAGCAGCACGUUGGGGUUUAACGUGUAAUGGGCAAGAGUUUUCACUGCGUCGGUUUCCCUAAAACCCUCAUGAAAAUACAGCCACAGCUGGGGUGGGGAUGGACUGCUCCUCAGCAAUGCCCUGAGAGGAAAACUCCACCAGGAACCGUCCCGUUCUCACAAGAAGCCUCAAUGUAUCUUUAAUGGGCAGGCAGAACACGCAAGACCUGUUUUAAGGGAUGAUGUCAGGCCCUUGUCUCCUUGGAAUCUGAAGUUGCUGAGAUGGAAUUUGAACUGAAUUCGGUCUAUGUUCCCUUCUCCCCUCCAACCCGUUUACUGAAAAGUAAAUGAAGUUUCAUAUUCUUCUGCA